GGGUCUAUCCAUUGGUCGGGCUUUACGGUCCGUACUGGUUCGAUGGGUUCCUACCUUCUGAAUGACCGGCAUGCCAUUCAGUUGGUGCGCCGGGGAAGCAGAGCUAUUACCUUGAAAAAAUUAGAGUGCUUAAAGCAGGCUAUUGCUUGAAUAGAUUAGCAUGGAAUAAUAAAAUAGGACGGCAUGGUUCUAUUUUGUUGGUUUCUAGGAUCACCGUA
rnacentral:rRNA from 1 species